rnacentral:rRNA from 1 species
UUGAGCCUUGAUGUGUAGGAUAGGUGGGAGGCUUUGAAGUGUGGACGCCAGUCUGCAUGGAGCCGACCUUGAAAUACCACCCUUUAAUGUUUGAUGUUCUAACGUGGACCCGUGAUCCGGGUUGCGGACAGUGUCUGGUGGGUAGUUUGACUGGGGCGGUCUCCUCCUAAAGAGUAACGGAGGAGCACGAAGGUUGGCUAAUCCUGGUCGGACAUCAGGAGGUUAGUGCAAUGGCAUAAGCCAGCUUGACUGCGAGCGUGACGGCGCGAGCAGGUGCGAAAGCAGGUCAUAGUGAUCCGGUGGUUCUGAAUGGAAGGGCCAUCGCUCAACGGAUAAAAGGUACUCCGGGGAUAACAGGCUGAUACCGCCCAAGAGUUCAUAUCGACGGCGGUGUUUGGCACCUCGAUGUCGGCUCAUCACAUCCUGGGGCUGAAGUAGGUCCCAAGGGUAUGGCUGUUCGCCAUUUAAAGUGGUACGCGAGCUGGGUUUAGAACGUCGUGAGACAGUUCGGUCCCUAUCUGCCGUGGGCGCUGGAGAACUGAGGGGGGCUGCUCCUAGUACGAGAGGACCGGAGUGGACGCAUCACUGGUGUUCGGGUUGUCAUGCCAAUGGCACUGCCCGGUAGCUAAAUGCGGAAGAGAUAAGUGCUGAAAGCAUCUAAGCACGAAACUUGCC